UCAUUAGAUGGCUGAAAGCAAGCAGUGGUCUCUUAAACCUUUUAAUAGUAUAGUAGCUCAUACUUCUAAUGAA
rnacentral:tRNA from 1 species